UGCAUAUUUUGACUAUUUUAUUUAUUAUGUCUGUUAAGUUCAAGCAUCGUUGUAAAUAUAACGGAAUUUGAUGAGACUGUCGUAAAAUGUGAGAGGUUUAGCGCUAUUAAACCUGGUUCAAUUCACCAGUUUCUACAUUUGAAAAUGCCUGUACCAAGUCAGGAAUACGACAGAUGUUGUCCAUUCGUUUUUGAUGUAUUUUGUCAUUUGAUUUUGCCAUGUUAUUAGGGACUUUCCGAUGUUAUUUUCCUCGGAGUUCUGUGUUUUUGUGAUUUUUCUUUUUUUAUAUAGAAAUAGGGAGAAGUGAUAUUAGUGCUAAUGAGUCAAUUCUUCAUCCAAGUCACAACGAGUAACAAGUUAACAAAUAUGGGUCAAAGUAAGGCCUGAAAUAUUGAGCGUUGGCUCAAACCGAAUAACAAGUAAUAAAGGGCCCCCAAAUAGUCAUGAAGUAUACCAAACGAAUAAUUGAUGAUUACUAGAGUACUACACGCUAUUUGACAGCUUUGAAUUUUCCCCAUCAAUUCAUUUACACGUUAUUGUUCCCAAUCUGUAGUCACGUCUAUGUUCGUGAUGACUGUAGGGACAUUGGUUUCAAUUAGGUAGAGUAGAUCCUUUAGCAACGAAAUCAAAGCAAGAUUCCGAUUUUUUUAGCAGCUUGUUAAACAUGUUAAAAAGUUUGAAUACAAAUUUCAGCGAAUUAAUGACCUGAUGUUUUACAAAAGCAAAUACUAUUUAUAUUAUAUUAGGUUAAUGAUAUGAAUCAUGAAGGCAUACUUAAAUUGGUUCUGAUAACUCUGUAUUGAUGAAUAGAAAAAUUAUUCAUGAAGUAAUGUUUUAGCAUCGAUCAAUUAGACAUAUGUGAAUCCAGUUUUUUGUCUAUAAGCUUAAUGAAGAUAAUUAAAAAUUCAACGUUUACUUUCGAACUUUGACUCCUUCCCCUAACCCCCGGUUAAACAAUGGUUGUGCUAUAUUUGCUCUUGUCGUCCUAUGCCAGGGGUGUUUUGGUAUGACAAAAGAUACAAAUAACUGUAGGAUAACUUUUAAAACUGACAAUUGCAUAUAAAGUUUAGAAAGAUCUGUGACCCAGAGAAAUUAUCAAUUUAACGAAGAAUUCAGGAAAGCUGUGCGGUAAACUUUUAAAAACGGUGAACGUGGUUUCGAAUGAAAAUUGAUCCUUAUACUUAGAAUUCUGUUUUCACAAUUUCGAAACAUUUGUUGUUUUCAUAUCCAAUCAGGAGUGCUACAAAAACAAGUUAUAUGUUUGUGUUACUAGUUACGGUAAUUCUUGUUUUAAAAAUAGUUGAAAUACUCAAAAGGUUCAAUUUAAAUUGAGAAAUAUGAGUGGAAUAAAGGUAGAUUUUAUGAUUUAUUUUUGCCUAAAAUAAAGAAUAUAUUUAUCUUGAGAAUAAAAGUUACAUGUACCUUUGAAAUAACGACAAAAAUAUUACUUAUAUAAGUUAUUUUAUACAUCUGUGAAAACGUAUAAUUAUUAGAGAAAUGUAAAUAAUCUUGAUUCUAAAAUAUAUCUAACUUCAAGUCCUUAUUUAAUUAUAAGUAUCCAUCUUAUCUAUCUAUAUCUGUCUACCUUGAAGAUUUUCUAGAAAAUUAUAUUUUUAUAGUCCCAAGAGAUAAACACUUGAUUUUGAUUCGUCGACAUGAAAUUUAAGUGCACCUAGUAGUGUUUUAGGAGGAGAAAAUUUGGUAUAGGGACAAUAACCAGAUGUCUUUGAAAAAUUCAAGUGCUAUAAACAGACCUAAUUACAAAUAAUAUUUACAAAAGUGAUAUUGAGUAUAGCCUUCCUUUCAAUUAAACUUGUGUUAAUAAGGUACUUGUUCAAAUACUACUCCUGACCGAUGUUAAAAUAAAUGUCAAUUGUGUUUAAUUUUACACGUACUUUUAUCAUGAAAAUCAAACUGAACGAGAAUUUAAGAGAGAAAAACACUUUCCUACUUAGAUCUAUAUAAUCUGUACAGUAUAUAUAUAUAUACAGUGUAGUCCCCGCUGUGGGUUUGGAUUGUAGGCAUAUUCAACAUGCUCAACGAUGGUAUAUACCAGUUUAGGUUUAAAUUUGAAUAUGGAGCAGUUGCAUUAGAGUUCUUUGAAAGAGGGACGAAAGAUACCAAAUGGACAGUCAAACUCAUAAUUCAAAACAAACCGACAACGCCAUGGCCAAAAAUGAAAAAAAACACCAAAAUCUAGGGGUGAUCUCAGGUGCUCCGGAAGGUUAAGCAGAUCCUGCUCCGCAUGUGGCACCCGUCGUGUUGCUUAUGUGAUAAAAAAAUGUGUUUGGUAUCAACAGCAAGAUAUACCUGGAUAGGUUUGUUUUGAGAUAUGGAGUUUCCAGUGAACUAAUAAAAAGAUUAGUUGAUGUUAUCAGUAAAAUGCCUUUUUUUAAAAGAGAUUUUGCGAUUACCUCGAUUUUAUACCUUCAUUUGCAUGUUCUGAAUUAUUUCAUGAGAAAUUGAAUUAAUUAACUACAUCGGACGGCCAGUGUAUUCAUGUUAUUAAUGUAUGAUACUUUUCAAAUAUACUCUUUCUGGAUGGUGUCACGUUAUAUUUGGCCGACCAGCUUCAUGAAACAACGGUUUGACUAAUUAAAUUCAAAGCCUUUUUUGACGUUCAUGUAAAUGUUAACAAAUUCUGUUUUUGAAUCAAGUUAUGUUAUUUAAAUAGGAGUUUAAAUAUCUACUUGAACAAGUUUCCAUACACAAAUGACCUUCCACUAUAUAAAUUUCAUAUUGUAUAUUCACGUGAUUUAAACAGACCCAUACUAUUGGAAAUAAAAUAUAUGAGGAAAAAUAAAACUGAUCUUCAUGAGAUUUAUCGUAUCUUUGAGAAAAUUAGAAUUUAAUGACCUUAAUUUGUAAUUCACCUGAUUAAGUUCGUCUCAAAUAAUCAGCUAUAAUUACAUAAGCGGAACACGUAUUAGUUACCUAAAGGUACAUGUAUGUUUGUUGCUACUGUAAACAGGGAAAUUUUCGCACCUGUUUGAUAUUCGCUAUUUUCGUGGUUAGAACUGAAACGCGAAAAUAAAACGACCGCGAAAAUUUUAAGGAAAGUUUUUCUCUAUUCAUAGGAUGAAUACCAUACACGUGCGUAUAACUAUGGGAUAUGUAGAGGACCACUGUAAACUGUUGUAUAACACCGAGUUUACAAAAGUCAAACUAAAAUCAUAACAGUUACUGUAUUUUUAAUGAAAAGGAAUGGUAGAAAUUAUGACUUAAACCUAAGUUAAACCUAUUAAAAUGGACGAAAUCUCAUGCAUGCGGGCAUUACUUAUAUUUUUAUGUAAACAACACUUGUUUAUGAUCAAUUUAUCUAUUCAAUCAAGAUCUUAUGGCAGUACUGCUUUAAAGAUUGUAACUUAACAAAUUAUAAACAAUUAAUUACUAUCUUCUCUUUACAAAUAGGGAAUGUCUAUAAACAUUUAUCUUUGUUUGUGUACUGUAGAACUGUUGUCUAAAAAAAUAUAUGCCUAUAAUUGAACAAAAAAAUUAAGGUUCGUAAUUAAGUAUCAUACUAUCAUCAUGGCAUUCUAUUUCCAGAACUAAAACAAAUUGCCAUUGUACUUGUACGUGUAUGUGUGAUCAACGUGUUUUCUCCUCUUUUUUAUAACAUAACUAAUAACACAUUGACACUUUAAAAUGUAAACCUUAAACAUUAUACUGCAAAGUUCAUACAAACUUCUAGCGUUGUACAUGUUGCAUAUUUUGACUAAUUUAUUUAUUAUGUCUGUUAAGUUCAAGCAUCGUUGUAAAUAUAACGGAAUUUGAUGAGACUGUCGUACAAAGUUAGAGGUUUAGCGCUAUAAAACCUGGUUCAACCAACCAGUUUCUACAUUUGAAAAUGCCUGUACCAAUUCAGGAUGUUGUCCAUUUGUUUUUGAUGUGUUUUGUCAUUUGAUUUUGCCAUGUGAUUAGGGACUUUCCGAUGUUAUUUUCCUCGAAGUUCAUUUUUUUUGGUGAUUUUUCUUUUUUUUAUACAGAAAUUAGAAGAAGAUGUAUUAGUUGAAAUGAGACAAUUCUUCAUCGAAGUCACAAUGGGUAACAAGUUAACAAAUAUGGGUCAAAGUAAGGCCUGAAAUAUGGAGCGUUGGCUCAAACCGAAUAACAAGUUAUAAAAGGCCCCAAAAUAGUCAUUUAUACCGAACGAAUAAUUGAUGAUUCCUGGAGUACUACAAGCUUUGAAUUUUCCCCAUCAAUUUAUUUACACGUGCAUGUUCCCAAUCUGAAGUCAAGUCUAUGUUUGUGAUUACUGUAGGGACAUUAGUUUCAAUUAUGUAGAGUAGAUCCUUUAACAACGAAAUCAAAGCAAUAUUCCGAUUUUUUUAGCAGCUUGUUAAACAUGUUAAAAAGUUUGUAUAUAUAUUAGUUUAAUGAUAUGAAUCAUAAAGGCAUA
rnacentral:lncRNA from 1 species